rnacentral:rRNA from 1 species
CACGUAGGGGGCGAGCGUUGUCCGGAUUUAUUGGGCGUAAAGAGCUCGUAGGCGGCUCACUAAGUCGGGUGUGAAACCUCCAGGCUCAACCUGGAGACGCCACCCGAUACUGGUGUGGCUAGAGUCCGGUAGGGGAGCAUGGAAUUCCUGGUGUAGCGGUGAAAUACGCAGAUAUCAGGAGGAACACCAGUGGCGAAGGCGGUGCUCUGGGCCGGAACUGACGCUGAGGAGCGAAAGCAUGGGGAGCAAACAGG